CCACACGUCAGAAAUUUCAGAAUUUGUUGAACAACCAUUAUAACUUGGACCCUCUUGUCAGGUUUCCAUUUCACGAGUAUUUAAAUCACAUACACAAUCAUUAUUUUGAACAUACCACAGAGCAAAUGAAAUUCAUCCAAAACAACACUAAAUUAGUCUAUUACAAUUGUUACAGUAUAUUACAACCUAGAUAUGCCUACAAUUACAACACAUAAUAUACUACUCUUUGUUGAUAUGCUUCACAGCUUCGGCCUUGGAUUCGCACUUCACCUGUGCAAAGAAUAAGAAUGAAAAUAUAAGAAUAAGAAUGUGUACAAAACAUCAAACAGUAGCCAAUGAGGGAUCCAAUAACUUGUAAGCAAGAAUUGACAGCAAAUGCCAUGUAGAUAGAUAGUAUGGCUAACACUAACCAGUAUCUGUUCAUGGAGUGACAAAUGUUCUCACUAGCUAGGAUUUUUUUCGGUAUAUAGUAUACUGACAUGUGCAACUAAAUUGAUCAUAGAAAUGAAAAGAACUGUAAGAACGAGUUCAUUCAGAAUCGAAUGAGUUCAUUCAGAAUCUAGGCAUGUCAAAUUUUAAGCACCAACAGAACAGAUCUAAUAAACCAGACCAUAAUCAGCAUGCAUCAGGAUUUACGGUUCUAGAAAAACAGUAAGGAUACGGAGAUACACGCAUCAAGCAUACCAGCUACUACAAUAAGAGGUCCAGAUGCUCGAGGAACUUUAGGGAGUAUGCACCCCGGC
rnacentral:lncRNA from 1 species